GGUGAGUAAUGCCUGGGAAUAUGCCUUAGUGUGGGGGAUAACUAUUGGAAACGAUAGCUAAUACCGCAUAACGUCUUCGGACCAAAGAGGGGGACCUUCGGGCCUCUCGCGCUAAGAUUAGCCCAGGUGGGAUUAGCUAGUUGGUGAGGUAAAGGCUCACCAAGGCAACGAUCCCUAGCUGGUCUGAGAGGAUGAUCAGCCACACUGGAACUGAGACACGGUCCAGACUCCUACGGGAGGCAGCAGUGGGGAAUAUUGCACAAUGGGGGAAACCCUGAUGCAGCCAUGCCGCGUGUAUGAAGAAGGCCUUCGGGUUGUAAAGUACUUUCAGUCGUGAGGAAGGGUGUGUAGUUAAUAGCUGCAUACCUUGACGUUAGCGACAGAAGAAGCACCGGCUAACUCCGUGCCAGCAGCCACGGUAAUACGGAGGGUGCGAGCGUUAAUCGGAAUUACUGGGCGUAAAGCGCAUGCAGGCGGUCUGUUAAGCAAGAUGUGAAAGCCCGGGGCUCAACCUCGGAACCGCAUUUUGAACUGGCAGGCUAGAGUCUUGUAGAGGGGGGUAGAAUUUCACGUGUAGCGGUGAA
rnacentral:rRNA from 1 species